rnacentral:rRNA from 1 species
GACGAACGCUGGCGGCGUGCUUAACACAUGCAAGUCGAACGAAGUGGCGAACGGGUGAGUAACGCGUAAUCAACCUGCCCUUCAGAGGGGGACAACAGUUGGAAACGACUGAUAAUACCGCAUACUGAAGGUGGGGAUUGCGUCGGAUUAGCUCGUUGGAGGGGGAACGGCCCACCAAGGCGAGGAUCAGUAGCCGGUCUGGGGGGGUGAACGGCCACAUUGGGACUGAGACACGGCCCAGACUCCUACGGGAGGCAGCAGUUGGGGAUCUUCCGCAAUGGACGAAAGUCUGGCGGAGCAACGCCGCGUGAGUGAUGACGGCCUUCGGGUUGUAAAGCUCUGUUAAUCGGGACGCGGUACCGGAAUAGAAAGCCACGGCUAACUACGUGCCAGCAGCCGCGGUAAUAC